UACGGCCGCAUCACGAUGAAACAUCGGUUCCUGUACGAUCACUAAAGUUAAGCAACGUUGCGCCUGGUCAGUACCUAGAUGGUUGACCGACUGGGAAUGCCUGGUGCUGCAAA